CUGGAAGGUUUUGUCAUUGGCUGGACCAGGAGAAGCUUUCAGAAGAUUCUUAAUUCCGAGAAGACGGAGCUCUUGACAGAAGCCCUCCUAAGCUCGAGAAGUAGGAUAAUGGGAGACAACCUUGGCUUGGAUUUCUUCAGACCAGGCAGACCAUCGGAAUAAACAAAGUGGGGGUGUGCCUGUGUGGGUGUUUCAGCUUUACUUCAUGGUGACUUCUUUCUUUUGUCAGUGAUACUCUGUGCCUUGGCAGCCUUUCACAGUAUGUCACGGGUCACAUGGGAAGUAAGCAGAAGGCCAAGAUGUGGACGGACCGACUGGCUUAAUGUUGCUUUUCAAGGCAACAUUCUUUCCCCGUGUCUUCCAUUUGCCGGUUCCAGAGCUCAAAUGCAGUCGUCAGGCUUGUGUGGUACGGAGCCACCUCACCGGUUCCUGAACUUUUAUCCAGCUCCUCUGUUCCCUGCCCUUUCCUGAGGAAGUGUGCUGUUGGCUGGGUCUCAAUGAUUGGAAAUGGCAGAUAGUUGAGGAACUCACUCCUGCUCUCUUGGCUCCAGUUCCAGAGGGAUGACGUUCAUCAUGGAGAAAAAGGCAUGAUGACGGCAUGCAGGGAUGGUGUGGUUAAUGGGAGCAGAAGGCUGGCUAGUCACUGCAACCCAAAUGAUGCAGCUGAGUGUGACCAGGAAGUGGGGCUCGGCCAGAAAGUCUCCAGGUCCACCUUCAGUGACUCGCUCUCUUCAGAAAGGCUCUACCUCCUAAGGAGUCCACAACUUUUUCAAUCAGCGCUACCAUCAGGAAACUAUGUGUUCGAGUACUGGAAUCUAUGGAGGAACGGAUCAUAUGCAAUCCACUACAGAUUGAUGGGAAUGGCAUAUCAGGAUUUGUGGAAUAUAAAACAUCAGAUACAUGUAGGAUGAGCCUUAGAAAGAACUAGUGAUACACUGGAAACUUUCGCCAAUUUCUGCACUGUAGAUAUUCCCACUAUGGCUGACUUCAAUCUACCAGUGAUUUGGCACAGCAGCUGUGGAAGUCAGAAGAGGAUGUCGAUUUUCCUGGAGCUAGACAUACAGAGAUGAGGACCCACCUCAGGUCUAUGGGCUAGGUAAGUGCUCUCUAUUACUGAGCUAAAAUCCCCACGCCCACAUCUAUUUUAAUGUAUAUGUAUUCUAUCACCUUGUCUUUCCUUUCCCCUGACUCUCUUAAUAUCUCUUUGUCCCUUUUGAUCAUGUCUAUUUUCAUGAUCUACACAUGUGCAUGUGCACACAUCGUACACAUAGACACUCAUUUCAGUCUGGAUUCUGUAUAUAAAAGGAAGCAGGCAGAAUUUGUCAUUCUGAGGCUGGCUUAUUUUGCUUAACAUAAUGAUCUCCAGUUGCAUCCAUUUUCCUGCAAAUGUCAUGAGUUCAUUGUUCUUCAUUGCAGAAAAUUCCAUUAUGUUCACAAAUCAAAUUUUCCAUAUCCAUUCAUGUGUUGAUGGGUAUCUAGGCUGCUUCCAUUUUAUAGCUAUCGUGAACUGUGCUUCAAUAAGUGUAGAUGUGAAUGUCUCUUCCUGGGCUAUUUCUAUAGACCCUCUGGGUUAUGGCUAGGAGUGUAUAGCUGGGCCACUUAGGAGUUCUCUAUUAGUGUUUUGUAGAACCCCACAGUGAGUUAUAUAGAUGCUUCCCAAGUUUGUACUUACCCUGCCUAUCUGUGUUGCUCUUCCUCCACAUCCUCACCAGCAUCCGUUGUCAUUUGUUUUCUUGAUGACAGCCAUUCUGAAGGAGGUGGAAUGUACUCUCAAGACAUUUUUUCAAAGAGAUUUAUUUGGAUUAAUGGUUGGAAAUCUAUAUAGUACAUCAUGACAGGGAAGGCAUGAAGAGAGGACUAUGAAAUAGCUGACAGAGGAAUGAUAAUACUCAUCAGAUCUCCCGACCCAUUCCCCACCUUGUUAGUGCUUUGUUCACGUCCCCCCUCAAGUGACGUGUUUACCAUCUUGCCUCUCUCCCUGUGAACCUGGAUGUGAACAGUGAGAUGUAACAACGACUCAGCUCCCAUGCAGUGCUGUUCUGACAUUUACUCCACCAAGCAAAUUUGCUGCGGCAUAUAGUGACAAAUUCUCAGGACACAGACACAAUGUAGCCAGAUUUUGUUUUUGCCAGAAUAUAAUAUGAAUAUGUUUCUAGUUCAAAUCCUAAUAAAGUUGUCAUUCCUUUCUGAAACUUUAUGAGACAGGAUAGAAUGUCUGCAUUUCUAUUGGUGUUCUAGUCUUCUAUACUCCCACCAGGAUGGCCCAUUAAGCUCUAUUGCUUUUUCUAUCCCUAAAGUCUCUAACUAAAGCAGGACUUGUUCCUUUGGCUAAACUGGCUGCCUUACACUCCUGGAUUUAUCAUUUUUUACCCUCCACUGUACUGGGGUUACAGAUGCAUGCUACCAACCUCUGCUUUUAUAUAGGUGCUUGGGACCAAAACUCAGGUCUAUCCUUGUGCAGCAAACAUUUUAUCCACUGACCCAUCUCUUCAGCCAGCUCUUUAGUAUAUAUUUAACAUCUGUAGAAUUUAUUUAUUUGUGUGCGUGUGUGUGUGUGUGUGUGUGUGUGUGUGUGUGUGUGUGUGAGAGAGAGAGAGAGAGAGAGAGAGAGAGAGAGAGAGAGAGAG